AACUAUAAACAUGUGCAGAUAAUUUAGAUCUUUGGCGAUCGCCGGAUUAAUUUUGAAAAAAUAGCUUUACAAAAUGUCAAGCACAGUUACUAUUAAACAGAAGAGCGAAUAUUACUACCUUAAAUGCGUGUUGGAAAGAGAGGAGAGCGAUAAAAUGACAUGCAUUAUACUGGAGCCUGUCAAAUUGCGAAGCUUGAUUGGCACUGCUCUCAAACAAUUACAUGGUUUGGUUGGAGCUUCAAUUACUGUGGAUGUUUUAAAAUGUGAGCAGUCGAAUGGUGAAAUAAUAUUGAGAGUCAAAGCGAACAAUUUGGUCAAAGUUUGGAGUUCAUUGACGCUUUUCAGUAAUUAUAACGGCAGUGAAUGUCGUUUUCGUGUCAAACAGAGGCGGGAUGCAAUUUACCAUUUACUCGCCAAACGUCAUCAUCGAAAAAAUCACGAAGACCGACUCAAUGAAGAAAAAAUGUCUUCGUAAUUUCAGCUCAACAAUUCUUCCUAUCAUGUUCAACCUCAUUUAAUAAUAAUCGUUUUAUUUGUUUCUAAUAAUAAUCGUUUUAUUUGCUUUUGUAUGAACAUGCAUCUUAAAUUGUACGUGUCACGUGUUGUGUUCUAACUGCCCCUACUCAAAAGUAAGGUGUCACCUUAUUUAAUGUCAUUGGCAACAGACAGUCGAACAUGGUCACCAUUUGAAGCUGACAAUAUCAACCAACCACGAUAUUUUAAAACUUUUUGAGACAGCAAUUUUAUUUAUGGUUUAAUUACUAAAAGCAUACCAGCCGGAACGUCGCAAGUGGAUUAAGGAGGCACAAAUUUUCACGGGCACUUUUCUGGAAAAGAGGGCAUUGAAUUUAUUUCAAAUGAUCUUUGAGAAUAUAACAGAAUUAUACAACAAUCAUAUUUUCAAAACGGUAAAUGCAUACAAGGUCACAUUGAAAAAUUUUUUGGCCACCUUUUUCAGUGAGAAGGGCACUUUGUAAAGGCACGUCUCCUGAUUUCGGACGAACACACAAUCUUUGGACCGGACCUGAAUGUCACAAACAUGCAUAUGUAUAAAUAAAAAAAAAUUAGAUAUAAAAAAUAAAUAAAAAAAUUAAAAAAUUUCUUCUGAUUCU